rnacentral:rRNA from 1 species
CCUACGGGGGGCAGCAGUGGGGGAUAUUGCACAAUAGGGGGAACCCUGAUGCAGCGACGCCGCGUGGGCGAUGGAGUGCUUCGGCAUGUAAAGCCCUAUCAGCAGGGAAGAAAAUGACGGUACCUGACUCAGAAGCCCCGGCUAAAUACGUGCCAGCAGCCGCGGUAAUACGUAGGGGGCAAGGGUUAUCCGGAUUUACUGGGUGUAAAGGGAGCGUAGGCGGCCUGGCAGGCCUGAUGGGAAAUACCGGGGCCCAACCCGGGGGCUGCAGUGGAAACUGCCAGGCUGGAGUGCCGGAGAGGCAGGCGGAAUGCGUGGUGUAGCGGUGAAAUGCGUAGAUAUCAGGAAGAACACCAGUGGCGAAGGCGGCCUGCGGGACGGUGACUGACGCUGAGGCACGAAAGCGUGGGGAGCAAACAGGAUUAGAUACCCGUGUAGUC